GAACUCCUUAGCAAACUGCGUAGAAGAAGAGCAACAGACGAUCUCCUUAUGCACAUUAAAAAGACUAAAAUAACCAGGAAAAUACAGUCACAAUAGAACCAUUCUAGGAAAAUUCUUCUCUUUGGCGAUCAUGUCUGUUAAAGCAACCAGAAUCAACUUCAGCUCAGAGUGGAUGCAAGCACACUCAGAUGAGCGCUGCGGCGCACAUGUCGUUUUGUGGGCUGCAUUUUCACUGCCAUAGUAGAAAGCUAAACUGAUGGUUUGGCCUGCUGAUUGGUCUGAGAAGCUGAUGCUUUGGCUCCAACAAUGAACUGGACUGAAGGAAGAACUGACAUCAUCAGGACCAGAGGCGGGUAGCGAUGCUUCAUCACAGAUUUCAUUUCAGCAUGCAGGCCUGUGCGCUCCUGCAGAGUAAUUUUUCAUCAAACAGAGUUUAGCAGAAGUAGCAACGUUUGAGAAAGAAAGCAUGAAACCAGAGUCAGACGUUUCCUGCUGGUUUUGUCAGUGUUGUUUUUAGUGUUGUGGGAAAAUGGAGGAGGGGAUUUUCUGCACCAAAUCCCGUCUGCUGUCCUAAAAUUUGUCAAUGAACAAGUUUGAGAAUAAAUAGGUUUUUAGGCAAAAUCUCAAAUUAGAAGGUUCUUUUAACGUGCUUAAAAUUAAUAAAAUGAAUCGCUAGAAAGGUUGCCUGGUUUAGUCAAAAUACCAGCUUGCAAUUGUGUGCAAUAACUGUAACUUGCAUUUGUAUGCAUUUUUUAUGCUGCAUAAAAUGUAAAAAGGCUAUUUCACCACUAAUGUAGCAGCUGGGGGGUUUCAGGCAAUAUUAAUGGAGCACAUUUUGAGUAAAAUGCUGAUGAAAAAUAUAAAUUUAUGUUAAUAAAAAUUCAUUUCCUUCAC